UACCGAGGGUGCGAGCGUUGUCCGGAAUCACUGGGCGUAAAGGGCGCGUAGGUGGCGCCGCAAGUCCAUGGUGAAAGCUCGAUGCUCAACAUCGAGUCGGCCACGGAGACUGCGGGGCUCGAGCACUGUAGGGGCAGAUGGAAUUCCGGGUGUAGCGGUGGAAUGCGUAGAGAUCCGGAAGAACACCGGUGGCGAAGGCGGUCUGCUGGGCAGUUGCUGACACUGAGGCGCGACAGCGUGGGGAGCAAACAGG
rnacentral:rRNA from 1 species